rnacentral:rRNA from 1 species
UGACCUCGGAUCAGGUUGACC